rnacentral:rRNA from 1 species
AGUGAACGCUGGCGGCAGGCCUAAUACAUGCAAGUCGAACGGCAGCACGGCAGAGCUUGCUCUGUGGGUGGCGAGUGGCGGACGGGUGAGGAAUACAUGGGAAUCUGCCCAGUCGUGGGGGAUAACGUAGGGAAACUUACGCUAAUACCGCAUGCGCCCUUCGGGGGAAAGCCGGGGACCUUCGGGCCUGGCGCGAUUGGAUGAGCCCAUGUCGGAUUAGCUAGUUGGCGGGGUAAUGGCCCACCAAGGCGACGAUCCGUAGCUGGUCUGAGAGGAUGAUCAGCCACACUGGAACUGAGACACGGUCCAGACUCCUACGGGAGGCAGCAGUAGGGAAUAUUGGACAAUGGGCGCAAGCCUGAUCCAGCCAUGCCGCGUGAGUGAAGAAGGCCCUCGGGUUGUAAAGCUCUUUUGUCCGGAAAGAAAGCGCCGGGUUAAUACCCUGGUGUCCUGACGGUACCGGAAGAAUAAGCACCGGCUAACUUCGUGCCAGCAGCCG